AUACGAUCUGGAUGAACGGGGGAUCAAGACCUCGCGAUUGCGGCCGAUCAGAUUAUAGUUGGUGGUAAAGGUACCAAGACGAUCUGGCUGGUCUGAGGACGAAGCCACACGGACUGAACGGCCCACUCCUACGAGGCAGCAGGGGAAUUGGACAAUCGCAAGCCAUCCAGCAGCCGCGUGGGAUGAAGCUUCGGGUAAACUGCUUGUACGGCGAAAAGGUCCACUAACUGGGGGAUGACGGUCGUAAGAAAGCACCGGAACUACGUCAGCAGCGGUAAUACAGGGUGCACGUUAAUCAAUUACUGCGUAAAGGCGCAGGCUCUUGUAACAGGUGUGAAAUCCCCGGGCUUAACCUGGGAACUGCACUUGUGACUGCAA
rnacentral:rRNA from 1 species